GUGGGGAAUCUUCCGCAAUGGACGAAAGUCUGACGGAGCAACGCCGCGUGAGUGAAGAAGGUUUUCGGAUCGUAAAGCUCUUUCGUUAGGGACGAACGUGCUCUUUGUGAAUACUGAGGAGUAAUGACGGUACCUAAAUAAGAAGCCACGGCUAACUACGUGCCAGCAGCCGCGGUAAUACGUAGGUGGCAAGCGUUGUCCGGAAUUAUUGGGCGUAAAGCGCGCGCAAGCGGGAUAUCAAGUCUGUCUUAAAAGUGCGAGGCUCAACCGCGUUAGGGGACAGAAACUGGUAUUCUUGAGUGUCGGAGAGGAAAGUGGAAUUCCAAGUGUAGCGGUGAAAUGCGUAGAGAUUUGGAAGAACACCAGUGGCGAAGGCGACUUUCUGGACGAUGUCUGACGCUGAGGCGCGAAAGCUAGGGGAGCGAACGGGAUUAGAAACCCCAGUAGUCC
rnacentral:rRNA from 1 species